rnacentral:rRNA from 1 species
UACGAAGGUGGCUAGCGUUGUUCGGAAUUACUGGGCUUAAAGGGCGCGUAGGCGGCGUGUCAAGUCAGGCGUGAAAGCCCCGGGCUCAACCUGGGAACCGCGCUUGAGACUGGCAUGCUCGAGUUCGGGAGAGGAUGGUGGAAUUCCCAGUGUAGAGGUGAAAUUCGUAGAUAUUGGGAAGAACACCGGUGGCGAAGGCGGCGACCUGGUCCAUUACUGACGCUGAGGCGCGACAGCGUGGGGAGCAAACAGG